GGUUGUAGCUCAGAUAGGUAGAGCAGCUGUCUAGUAUAUACUUGGUCCUGGGUUUUAUCCCAGUACUACCA
rnacentral:tRNA from 1 species